CCCCAAUUUUAUUGAUUUUUUAAAUAGUAUUUAGCUUUUUAAAUAUUUUUUUAAGACAAAAAUCGAGUAAAUUUUUCCUCAAUAUUUUUUCUGCUCAAUAAACGAUAUUAUAAUACAAGUGUGAGAAAAUUUAUUACUGACCUAGUCCCUAACCAUCCAAGAGGGGACAAUAUUUGUGCAAUUCGUUAAUAUCAAAUACUGGUUUUGCCAGAAGAAAUAAAAAUCCAGAAGAAAGAAAAAUCUUUUGUUAACAGUUAAAUGGCAAGCAGGUAAUACCCAAAAAUUCUACUAGGCUGCUCUACACCCCUAGUCUGCGCUCUCUACGACCUCUCGUUCUAUCGUUCGUUCUCUCCCUUCUCCAUUUAUUCUGUCUCUAUGACGGCCUACGGAAUGGCUGUCCCUCUUGCUUUUAUUGAUUUUUCAUUAUUCUGGCUAUUUUUCAUGGUGUAGAGGCUCUCUCUCUCACGGCUAUAAGCAAUACUCUCGUCAUCCGGCUCAGAACGACUCAAUAAAAGUAUUCAAAUACCAGAAAAAUAACUUAGAACGUUUCCUGGGAAACCGUUUUUAUAUAUUUUUACCCAAUGAGAAGUUACUAUAAUUUUGAAGCAAGACCAAUUAGACUUUCAGAAUACUUUUUAUUAACACCAGCUAUGUCCUCCCUCAAAAUAAACACAUUGCAAAGAAGCUGUUGCAAGAAAGAUCAAGGCGUAGAUCUCUGGUUUAACCUACCUAGUUUAAAAGUUCCUAUGACUGUAGAAGUAGCGUCCUUUGGCAGUUGUUAGAUUUUUUUUUUUGAAACUGAACAAUCCCCAUGUGUAUCAUUUUUUUGUUAAAGAUUGAAUAAAUGUAUGUGAUUAUUGAAUACAUCUUGUCUGAAU
ensembl:lincRNA linc-8 ncRNA